UACGUAGGUGGCAAGCGUUGUUCGGAAUUAUUGGGCGUAAAGGGCGCGUAGGCGGUUUGGUAAGUCAGCUGUGAAAGCCCGAGGCUCAACUUCGGGUCGGCCAUGGAUACUCCUGGGCUCGAGCACUGUAGAGGCAGGUGGAAUUCCGGGUGUAGCGGUGGAAUGCGUAGAGAUCCGGAAGAACACCGGUGGCGAAGGCGGCCUGCUGGGCAGUAGCCGAAAGGCUGAAAGCUGACGCUGAGGCGCGACAGCGUGGGGAGCAAACAGG
rnacentral:rRNA from 1 species